CUACGGGGCGCACCAGUGAGGAAUAUUGCACAAUGGGGGAACCCUGAUGCAGCAACGCCGCGUGGAGGAUGACGCAUUUCGGUGUGUAAACUCCUUUUAUAUGUCAAGAAAAUGACGGUAGCAUAUGAAUAAGCACCGGCUAGACUCCGUGCCAGCAGCCGCGGUAAUACGGAGGGUGCAAGCGUUACUCGGAAUCACUGGGCGUAAAGGACGCGUAGGCGGGUUGGAAAGUCAGGUGUGAAAUCCUACAGCUUAACUGUAGAACUGCACUUGAAACUUCUAAUCUAGAGUAUGGGAGGGGGAGAUGGAAUUAGUGGUGUAGGGGUAAAAUCCGUAGAUAUCACUAGGAAUACCUAAAGCGAAGGCGAUCUCCUGGAACAUUACUGACGCUAAGGCGUGAAAGCGUGGGGAGCAAACAGGAUUAGAUACCCGCGUAGUC
rnacentral:rRNA from 1 species